rnacentral:lncRNA from 1 species
GUGGCAUUGAGGUUUUAACUUAUUCGGAUGUGUUGCAUUUUGUCGGGUUAUGUGAUGUAUUUCGGUUGUUUCCUGUCAUUAGUUAAUACUUCAGUUUUAUCAUGUACAUCUUUUGUAUAGUCAUUUUAUAAAAUUUGCUGUUUGCAAAAGUAUAAAUUAUUCUAAAUAAUAGGGAUGUUCUAGUACCUAACAGAAAACACUGGCCAUUUUUGGCACACAUUUUUUGAACUUUUGGUCCUCGAUGCUGUUCAACUUUGUACUUGUUUCGGCUUUCAAACUUUUGUAUCUGGGCGUCACUAGUAAGUCUUGUGUGGACAAAAUGCACUUCUGGCGUAUUAAAAAUUUUAAACUUGUUGCCUUUUGUUAGCUAUUAUUCGUGUGUUUCUUGGUCAAUUGUGUUCUCCUAUUUAUUUAUAUUUCAGUCCUCUAAUGUUGUGUUGUCAUUUUAAUAUUACAUUUCACAUGGCCAUAAAAAUUGUCCUGUACCAAAUCAGGAAUAUGGCCAUUGUUAUAUUAUAGUUCGUUUCUGUGUGUAUUACAUUUUAACGUUGUGUCGUUUGUUUUCUUUUAUUUUUUAGUGUGAAUUCACAUUACUAUAAGACGUGUCACAGUACUUAUCUAUCCCAAGUUCAUGUAUUUAGUUUUGAUGUUAUAUUUGUUAUUGUCAAAUGCUUUGUCCGUUUCUGUGUGUGUGUGUGUGUGUGUGUGUGUGUGUGUGUUACAUUUUAAUGGUGUGUCGUUGUUCUCCUAUUAUAUUUAAUGCGUUUCCCUCAGUUUCAGUUUGUUACCCCGAUUUUGUUUUUUGUCCAUGGAUUUAUGAGUUUUGAACAGCGGUAUACUACUGUUGCCUUUAACUAGAUAUAAACCAGAUGUCGGUAGUAUCUUUAAUUUCAAGUUCACUUGGAUAUACUAAAUGUAAGUGAUUACUGAAUCUAUUAUUAUAAAGAGACAGAACAUCAUCAAUAUACCGAAAGGUGAAAUUAAAA